ACUUUGUGGUUGACCAGGCGGUCAGGUAAGUCGCUCUUCUAAACGCUUUUGACGUUAACUAAAUAAGAUUAACGUAAAAGUAUAUUUUUUGUAAAGUUAAUAAUUUCAAGUUAAUUUCUAUAUACAUGUUUCUAUAAAGUUGAGACUUUGAUACAUUUGUUUCUAGGUUAUUUUCCUUUAAUAUAUCUCAUAUGUUUUUAAUUCUUGUAGACACAUCCAUCAUGAGGAUUUAAUGUAUCCAGCUGAAGAUAACAGGCAUUGCAGAUUAGUCUAAGUACAAAGUAGUUUAACAAUAAAAUAUCAAUGUUUGAAGAGAUUAAGGCAUAUUAAUUCAUAUUUGAUUUGUUUUAACUUUUAUACAUAUAUCUCAAUUUUAAACAAAUGUUUAAAAAUUAAAAAUAUGACUUCAAUUCAAAAAGUAUAUAAUAGCGAAUGAAUGAUUAUGAUACCUAUAUUCCAAUCUAAGCAUCUGAAAUCUGAGACAUUGCUGCGCAUGAACACGGUGUACCGAUAUAGGGCGAUGUUACUAGCUCACAACAGACAGGAGAGCGUUAACGUAACAUGUCCCCGUCAUUAUCGGGAAGACCUGUCCGACUCAAGUUCAUGUGAGCCUGCUUUUGUGGGUGGAGCUCCGUCCCUGGUGACAGGGGUGUUGAUGGCCGUGCAAUGCUCUUGAAACUUUAUAGUUUCUCAAUCAGAGUUCAGUUCUUAGUAGGAAUUUAGAGUUUAUUCAUAUGAGCAAAAAUAUCAUAUAACGAAAUCUAAGCUUUUUUUGGAGAAAUAUUUUUGUUACCUAAACAUGAAAAUAUAAUAAUUAUGUGCAACUUUAAUCUUAACGAUAUAACGUAAACAUGAAUCUUUUGAUAUAGUAAUAAUAAUAAUAAAGUGCCCUAAACAAUAGAUCAUAAUGACAAUUAAUAUUAUAAAGAUUGAAAAAUCCUGAAAACGAAUAGUGUCUGAGACAUUAAUACACAUGAACACGGUGUACCGAUAUAGGACGAUGUUUCUAGCUCACAACGGACAGGAGAGCGUUAACGUAAUAUGUCACCACCAUUAUCGGGAAGACCUGUCCGACUCAAGUUCAUGUGAGCCUGCUUUUGUGGGUGGAGCUCCGUCCCUGGUGACAGGGGUGUUGAUGGCCGUGCAAUGCUCUUGAUACUGUAGUUUCUUAAUCAGACAAAUAUUUUGUUUUCGAUUUGAUUUUUUUUUCAUACCCUCAUUCAUGUGCUUGAUAAUAAUAUUUAUUUGAUUUUCAGAACAGACAACCAUUUUCUACGAUGAAGUCUUUCAUCUGUAAUGUGUGUGGGGCAUCAUUUAGCCAUUCAUCAAAUAUGUAUCGCCACCUAAGGACAGCUCAUAAAUGUUCUGAGCAUAAAUGCAUUACCUGUGGCAUGCAAUUUAAAAGGAAAGACAACUUUCAACGUCAUAUGAGAACACAACAUCUAAUAUCAAAAGCUGCAAGUUCUGAUACUGAGAACCAAAACUCGACUGGAGAGGAAAGCAACAUAGAAAUGCCAUCAAAGCCAAAAGAAAACUAUCAAAUUGGAGGUGGUCUUACUACUAAUGACAGUAGCGAGUGUAUUACAGAAGAUGAGGCAAUAAAUGGAAAUCUCAAGGUUUACAAUUUACCUGCUUUAAAUAAAACAAAAUUCGACCCCC
rnacentral:sRNA from 1 species